rnacentral:rRNA from 1 species
CUACGGGGCGCAGCAGUGAGGAAUAUUGCACAAUGGGGGGAACCCUGAUGCAGCAACGCCGCGUGGAGGAUGACGCAUUUCGGUGUGUAAACUCCUUUAUAUGUCAAGAAAAUGACGGUAGCAUAUGAAUAAGCACCGGCUAACUCCGUGCCAGCAGCCGCGGUAAUACGGAGGGUGCAAGCGUUACUCGGAAUCACUGGGCGUAAAGGACGCGUAGGCGGGUUGGAAAGUCAGGUGUGAAAUCCUACAGCUUAACUGUAGAGCUGCACUUGAAACUUCUAAUCUAGAGUAUGGGAGGGGGAGAUGGAAUUAGUGGUGUAGGGGUAAAAUCCGUAGAUAUCACUAGGAAUACCUAAAGCGAAGGCGAUCUCCUGGAACAUUACUGACGCUAAGGCGUGAAAGCGUGGGGAGCAAACAGGAUUAGAUACCCUCGUAGUC